rnacentral:rRNA from 1 species
CUGGUUGAUCCUGCCGGACCUGACCGCUAUCGGGGUGGGGCUAAGCCAUGCGAGUCGCGCGCCCGGGGCGCCGGGCGCGGCGCACGGCUCAGUAACACGUGCCCAACCUAACCUCGGGAGGGGGACAACCCCGGGAAACUGGGGCUGAUCCCCCAUAGGGGAAGGGCGCUGGAAGGCCCCUUCCUCUAAAGGGAUCUCGGGCGAUCUCCCGAGGUCCGCCCGAGGGUGGGGGCACGGCCUAUCAGGUAGUUGGCGGGGUAACGGCCCGCCAAGCCGAAGACGGGUAGGGGCGGUGAGAGCCGUGAGCCCCGAGAUGGGCACUGAGACAAGGGCCCAGGCCCUACGGGGUGCAGCAGGCGCGAAUACUCCGCAAUGCGGGCAACCGCGACGGGGCCACCCCGAGUGCCGGGCGAAGAGCCCGGCUUUUGCCCGGUGUAAGGAGCCGGGCGAAUAAGCGGGGGGUAAGUCUGGUGUCAGCCGCCGCGGUAAUACCAGCCCCGCGAGUGGUCAGGGUGAUUACUGGGCUUAAAGCGCCCGUAGCCGGCCCGGCAAGUCGCUCCUGAAAUCCCCGGGCUCAACCCGGGGGCGGGGGGCGAUACUGCCGGGCUAGGGGGCGGGAGAGGCCGCCGGUACUCCGGGGGUAGGGGCGAAAUCCUAUAAUCCCCGGAGGACCACCAGUGGCGAAAGCGGGCGGCCAGAACGCGCCCGACGGUGAGGGGCGAAAGCCGGGGGAGCAAAGGGGAUUAGAUACCCCUGUAGUCCCGGCCGUAAACGAUGCGGGCUAGCUGUCGGCCGGGCUUAGGGCCCGGCCGGUGGCGUAGGGAAACCGUUAAGCCCGCCGCCUGGGGAGUACGGCCGCAAGGCUGAAACUUAAAGGAAUUGGCGGGGGGGCACCACAAGGGGUGAAGCUUGCGGCUUAAUUGGAGUCAACGCCGGAAACCUUACCCGGGGCGACAGCAGGAUGAAGGCCAGGCUAACGACCUUGCCGGACGAGCUGAGAGGAGGUGCAUGGCCGUCGUCAGCUCGUGCCGUGAGGUGUCCGGUUAAGUCCGGCAACGAGCGAGACCCCCACCCCUAGUUGCUUCCCCGCUCUUCGGGGCGGGGGGCACACUAGGGGGACUGCCGGCGUAAGCCGGAGGAAGGAGGGGGCCACGGCAGGUCAGUAUGCCCCGAAACCCCGGGGCUGCACGCGAGCUGCAAUGGCGGGGACAGCGGGAUCCGACCCCGAAAGGGGGAGGCAAUCCCGUAAACCCCGCCCCAGUAGGGAUCGAGGGCUGCAACUCGCCCUCGUGAACGUGGAAUCCCUAGUAACCGCGUGUCACCAACGCGCGGUGAAUACGUCCCUGCCCCUUGCACACACCGCCCGUC